GCACAAGCGGUGGAGUAUGUGGUUUAAUUCGAAGCAACGCGAAGAACCUUACCAGGUCUUGACAUCCCUGACAACCCGAGAGAUCGGGCGUUCCCCCUUCGGGGGACAGGGUGACAGGUGGUGCAUGGUUGUCGUCAGCUCGUGUCGUGAGAUGUUGGGUUAAGUCCCGCAACGAGCGCAACCCUCGACCUUAGUUGCCAGCAUUCAGUUGGGCACUCUAAGGUGACUGCCGGCUAAAAGUCGGAGGAAGGUGGGGAUGACGUCAAAUCAUCAUGCCCCUUAUGACCUGGGCUACACACGUGCUACAAUGGGCGGUACAAAGGGUCGCGAACCCGCGAGGGGGAGCCAAUCCCAAAAAGCCGCUCUCAGUUCGGAUUGCAGGCUGCAACUCGCCUGCAUGAAGCCGGAAUCGCUAGUAAUCGCGGAUCAGCAUGCCGCGGUGAAUACGUUCCCGGGCCUU
rnacentral:rRNA from 1 species